GACGAACGCUGGCGGCGUGCUUAACACAUGCAAGUCGAACGGAAAGGCCCUGCUUUUGUGGGGUGCUCGAGUGGCGAACGGGUGAGUAACACGUGAGUAACCUGCCCUUGACUUUGGGAUAACUUCAGGAAACUGGGGCUAAUACCGGAUAGGAGCUCCUGCUGCAUGGUGGGGGUUGGAAAGUUUCGGCGGUUGGGGAUGGACUCGCGGCUUAUCAGCUUGUUGGUGGGGUAGUGGCUUACCAAGGCUUUGACGGGUAGCCGGCCUGAGAGGGUGACCGGCCACAUUGGGACUGGGAUACGGCCCAGACCCCGACGGGGGGCAGGAGUGGGGAAUAUUGCAAAAUGGGCGGAAGCCUGAUGCAGCAACGCCGCGUGGGGGAUGGCGGCCUUCGGGUUGUAACCCGCUUUCGCCUGUGACGAAGCGUGGGUGACGGUAAUGGGUAAAGAAGCACCGGCUAACUACGU
rnacentral:rRNA from 1 species